CAGUAGCCGCGGGAAAACGUAGGGUGCAAGCGUUAAUCGGAAUUACUGGGCGUAAAGCGUGCGCAGGCGGUUAUAUAAGACAGAUGUGAAAUCCCCGGGCUCAACCUGGGAACUGCAUUUGUGACUGUAUAGCUAGAGUACGGCAGAGGGGGAUGGAAUUCCGCGUGUAGCAGUGAAAUGCGUAGAUAUGCGGAGGAACACCGAUGGCGAAGGCAAUCCCCUGGGCCUGUACUGACGCUCAUGCACGAAAGCGUGGGGAGCAAACAGGAUUAGAUACCCCUGUAGUCCCUGUCUCUUAUAC
rnacentral:rRNA from 1 species